GUCAGUGUGUGUAUCUGCAUGUAUGUUUUUGGGUGCCAGUGCUUGUAUGUCAGUGUUUUUAUCUGUAUGUUUGUGUAUCAUUAUAUUUGUGUCUGUACAUCUGUACCCGUAUGUAUGUCAGUUUGUGUAUCUGCAUGUGUCAGUGUUUGCAUCGUUGUAUCUGCAGGUGUGUGUUUCUGUAUCUACAUGUUUGUCAGUGUUUGUGUGUCUGCAGGUGUGACAGUUUGUAUGUCUCGGGCAGAGGAUGAAUGGGGAGAGCCUGGGGUGUAGGCAUGGUCGUCUUUAAAGCGGGGCAAACUGCCCCGUGGUCCCCGCGAUUUGAGCAGCCCCCAAGGACCUGGCGGUGCGGCUGCACAGAGCCGCACCAGCCACACACUAAGGAGGCCCCCCGGUGGGCAUGUGUCAGCAGGGGCCCGGUCGCUUCCUGUCCGGCAGCAUGCUGGGAGGAAGUGAAUGCUGCGCGUCUCUUCCUUCCACCGGAGAUCAC